rnacentral:sRNA from 1 species
UCACAAGAGGUCCUACAACCAGUAAUUAC